CGGGAUAGCUCAGCUGGUAGAGCAGAGGACUGA
rnacentral:tRNA from 3 species